AAAUGUGUGAGUGUACCCUGCCGUUGCAGCGUCUUCAGUGUGAUAAACAUUUUCACUGAUCAAAGGUUCCUCUAGGACACGUAAGCGAUGUGGGCUCUGCGCUGCCAACCGUCUCUGAGACAGCCUUGACAAUUUGACCUCAAAUCGGGUGGGACUACCCGCUGAACUUAAGCAUAUCAAUAAGCGGAGGAAAAAAAACUAACAAGGAUUCCCCUAGUAACGGCGAGUGAAGAGGGAAAAGCUCAAAUUUCGAAUCUGUCGUCUUUGGCGAUCGAGUUGUAAUCUAGAGAAGUGUUUUCUGCCUUGGACCACGCAUAAAUUCCCUGGAACGGGGUGUCAAAGAGGGUGAGAAUCCCGUUUGCGGUGUGGACUACCAUGGGCUCUGUGAUACACUCUCAACGAGUCGAGUUGUUUGGGAAUGCAGCUCAAAAUGGGUGGUAAAUUCCAUCUAAAGCUAAAUACUGGCGAGAGACCGAUAGCGAACAAGUACCGUGAGGGAAAGAUGAAAAGCACUUUGGAAAGAGAGUGAAACAGUACGUGAAAUUGUUGAAAGGGAAGCGUUUGAAGUCAGUCACGUCGCCUGGGACUCAGCCUUGCUUUUGCCUGGUGUACUUCCCAGUGGACGGGUCAGCAUCGGUUUCGACCGUGGGAGAAAGACUUGGGGAAUGUGGCUCUUUGGAGUGUUAUAGCCUCUUGUUGUAUGUCACGGUUGGGACUGAGGAUCGCAGCGCGCCUUACGGCCGGGGUUCGCGCCCUCGGUACGCGCUUAGGAUGCUGGCAUAAGU
rnacentral:rRNA from 1 species